rnacentral:rRNA from 1 species
GACGAACGCUGGCGGCGUGCUUAACACAUGCAAGUCGAACGGAAAGGCCCUGCUCUUGUGGGGUGCUCGUGUGGCGAACGGGUGAGUAACACGUGAGUAAACUGCCCUUGUCUUUGGGAUAUCUUCACGAAAAUCGGGCUCUUAUCGGAGAGAAUCUUCUGCUGCAUGGUGGGGGUUGGUAAGUUUCGGCGGUUGGGGAUGGACUAGCGGCUUACCCGCUUGUUGGUGGGGUUGUGGCUUUCAAAGGCUUUGACGGGUAGCCGGCCUGAGAGGGUGACCGGCCACAAUGGGACUGAGGGACGGCCCAGACUCGUACGGGAGGCAGCAGGGGGGAAUAUUGCACAAUGGGCGGAAGCCUGAGGCAGCAACGCCGCGUGCGGGAUGACGGCCUUCGGGUUGUAAACCGCUUUCGCCUGUGACGAAGCGUGAGUGACGGUAAUGGGUAAAGAAGCACCGGCUAACUACGUG